UACGGAGGGUGCAAGCGUUAUCCGGAUUCACUGGGUUUAAAGGGUGCGUAGGCGGACAGGUAAGUCAGUGGUGAAGUCUCUGGGCUUAACCCAGAAACUGCCGUUGAUACUGCUUAGCUUGAAUCAAGUAGAGGUGGAUGGAAUAUUACAUGUAGCGGUGAAAUGCUUAGAUAUGUAAUAGAACACCGAUUGCGAAGGCAGUUCACUAUGCUUGUAUUGACACUGAGGCACGAAAGCGUGGGGAUCAAACAGG
rnacentral:rRNA from 1 species